GGCCCUGUAGUUCAAUGGAUAGAACGAAAGUUUCCUAAACUUUAAAUUCGAGUUCGAUUCUCGGCGGGGCUA
rnacentral:tRNA from 1 species